rnacentral:rRNA from 1 species
ACUCAAAGGAAUUGACGGGGACCCGCACAAGCAGAGGAGGAUGUGGUUUAAUAUGACGCUACGCGUAGAACCUUACCGAGGCUUGACAUCCUAGGAAUCCGCUGGAAACAGUGGAGUGCCUUAGGGAGCCUAGUGACAGGUGCUGCAUGGCCGUCGUCAGCUCGUGUCGUGAGAUGUUGGGUUAAGUCCCGCAACGAGCGCAACCCUUAUCGUAUGUUGUAUUUUUCAUGCGAGACUGCCCGGGCCAACCGGGAGGAAGGUGGGGAUGACGUCAGGUCGGCAUGGCCCUUACGCCUCGGGCCACACACGUCCUACAAUGGCCGGUACAACGCGUUGCCAACCCGCGAGGGGGAGCUAAUCGCACCAAAACCGGUCCCAGUUCGGAUUGGAGGCUGCAACUCGCCUCCAUGAAGUCGGAUUUGCUAGUAAACGUGGGUCAGCACACCACGUUGAAUACGUUCCCGGGUCUUGUACACACCGCCCGU